CGACAGGGGGGAUAACUAUUGGAAACGAUAGCUAAGACCGCAUAGGUACGGACACUGCAUGGUGACCGUAUUAAAAGUGCCUCAAAGCACUGGUAGAGGAUGGACUUAUGGCGCAUUAGCUGGUUGGCGGGGUAACGGCCCACCAAGGCGACGAUGCGUAGCCGACCUGAGAGGGUGACCGGCCACACUGGGACUGAGACACGGCCCAGACUCCUACGGGAGGCAGCAUG
rnacentral:rRNA from 1 species